GAUGAAGAACGCAGCGAAAUGCGAUAAGUAAUGUGAAUUGCAGAAUUCAGUGAAUCAUCGAAUCUUUGAACGCACAUUGCGCCCGCGAGUAUUCUCGCGGGCAUGCCUGUCCGAGCGUCAUUUCAACCCUCAGGGCCCGCCUGCUUGCAGGCGCGGCGCUGGUGUUGGGGAUCGGCUACCCUGCCGUCCCCCAAAUACAGUGGCGGUCUCGCUGCAGCCUCCCCUGCGUAGUAGCAACACUCGCAUGCGGAGCGCGGCCCGGCCACGCCGUAAAACCCCCGACUUUCUGAACGUUGACCUCGGAUCAGGUAGGAAUACCCGCUGAACUUAAGCAUAUCAAUAAGCGGAGGA
rnacentral:misc_RNA from 1 species